rnacentral:rRNA from 1 species
GACGAACCGAGCGACCGUUGUUCGGAAUCACUGGGCUUAAAGGGUGCGUAGGCGGGCUGCCAAGUUUGGGGUGAAAUCCUCCGGCUCAACCGGGGAAGUGCCUUGAAUACUGGCGGUCUCGAGGGAGGUAGGGGCGUGCGGAACUAACGGUGGAGCGGUGAAAUGCGUUGAUAUCGUUAGGAACUCCGGUGGCGAAGGCGGCACGCUAGACCUCUUCUGACGCUGAGGCACGAAAGCCAGGGGAGCGAACGGG